CGUCAUAGGAACGAACGCGCUCGGCCGGCAGCAGUUCUGAAUGCGAGCGGGCGGCUGCACCUGCGGGAGCUGGCGUGGCCGUGCUGGAGAUGCUCGGCGCUGCUCGGCCCCGCGCUCUGCGGGCCGGGCCAGGCCGGGACGGGACGAGCAAGCAAAGCCGGGUAGUUACAGAGGCACAGUGUAAAUAACUUCAGCGUCCCGUGCUGGUGCUGAGAAUGUAAGGCAGGCAGCUCUUGCACUUGUCGUCUUUUAGUUUCCUUUUCACUUAAACCCGCGGAUAAUGGAAACUCGGGUUUUGCUGAGCAAAUGGAAUAAGGGUGCUGGAGCCUGGCCACGGCUCCAGGCCAUCCCGAGAGGCUUGAGAAAAGGCUCUUCUGGGCUCGUUCCUGUGCCCGCAGACCUUGUGGCAGGCACCGUACGCAGUCGGUGUUGUUCAGAUUAGGACUGCGAUUUUUUUUUGCUGAUUUGGUCAGUUUGAGCUUUUCCAGCGGAAUUUCUCUAGAGGGCAGUAAGGAUUCAAAGCAGCCUCAGUACCAGCACCUCCACACUCUCAGCCACUUCCAGCCCGCCAAGGAGCGCGCCAUGCACCGGCUGCUCUCAGCCUGGGCAGGCACCGACCGCACAGCUUGGGAGCAGUGCCCGCACCAGCCCUGGUGCGCAGUCAUGUCUGAGAACCUCAGGUGUCUUAGCAUCCAACAAAGCUGUAUUCCUGGCCUUAAAAAGUAUGUUUCUUGCCUGAAACAAAUUUAAACAAUAAUGUAAGAUGCCAUAAAACCUGAAACCACUUAUGUCAAGUCAACAGGAGAUUCCGUCAGGAUAAUUCCUUCCGUGUUUACAAAGCAGCUCGGCUUCACCCAGCGCUUUCACCUCUCCUCUUCCCCGUCCUGCUCUUGGCGGUGCAGUCUCCUGUCCUGGGCUGUGGUGUGGCAGCAGCCCUGCAGGUGUGGUUACCAGAGGCACCUGGGCAGCCCUGGCCGUGCUGUGACAGCCGUGCUGGUGCAGUCAGCACUGUGCUCCCUGGGCCGUUCUGAAGAGCUGAUCCCCGGUGGAAGCGACCCAGGUUAAAUCACCCAUCUGUCCCCGGGAGAGAUGUUACUAAGGUAAUAGGUGCUCGUUACCAGAAGUGACGUGAGGAAUGGUUUCCUGAGCCAAGCACAUGUUUUACGGGUUUACUCAGCACAGACACUGCUCUAGGAUUUUCACGAAGGGCGGGUGCUAGCCCUGUGGCUGGGCUCUCAGUAGGGCACCCAAAGCAACAGCUGAACAAGGGUGAGAAAACCCAACCCCUCCUCACCUAACGCACUGCGUGUGAUGAGAUCCUCGCUGAGCAGUUACGUCACAAGUACUCAGGGAGCUUCCACUCCCGUGUUAGGUUGUUUGGUACAAGCAGGAAGGCUCAUAAAUAGAAGUACCCCUUCAGAAGAGGAAUAUCUACCUAAAAUAGAUCUAUUUCAAAGCCAGUGGCCCAAGAGCAAUUGCUGUUCGGGGUCCUCAAUAUAAUUCAAACCACACUCUCUCUCAGAAAAAGCUUUUAGUUAAGGGGCUAUGAUUUUAAAAGGCUUUAUACCCCACAUGUGCACUAUGGAUCAUGGAACUAGGAAGCAGUAAAAGCUGAAUACAGCUAGUAUACUAGGGACUGACAGCAUUAUGACUUUUAUCAGUUGUAGGAGAAAUAAGUCCAGUCUUAGAAAGACAGUUAAGCCAAUAUGGCCAUGCUCCUAUGCUAAAGAUUUAUGGCGCACAGUCCACCCUAUAAAGCCAUUGUUCAGAAACCAAGGGCUCGAAAAUCCUUGUUCAGACAAGUAGUCCUUGUUCCCAAGUUCCACUGAACUUCCUUCCCUUUAGCUAGAACAAUCUUCCCCAAAAGCACCAGACAAGUAAGCGGAGUGCAUGAGAUGCAGGCCAACAAAGGCAGCCUUUCAUGCACAGUCCAGCUUGCCUUGCAGCAGCAUCUGGAACAAGAAGCCAAACAUCAGGAACUCGUCAUCUGGAAGAUACAUGGACGAGCAGAGCAGACCUGGAGCAGCUUAUUCCUGGCUCAACUGAUGACAUCUUCUAUUGCUUGUGCCACAGUUCCCCCAUCUAUACAGCUACACAGAUAAAGCUACUUUACAAAGCCCUUUCAUAUCUGUAAAUGAAAAACAUAAAUGCCAAGUGUCAUAAAGACACUUAAAGUGUCAAGAAACGUUUAGAUAUAGCGUUGAGAGACAUGGUUUAGUGGGGUUAUUGGU